CCUUGGCUAGCUCAGUCGGUAGAGCAUGAGAUUCUUCAUCUCAGGGUCGUGGGUUUGAGCCCCUCGUCGGGGG
rnacentral:tRNA from 1 species